rnacentral:miRNA from 1 species
CUGGGUUUCCCCAGUCCAGGCAGUGCCCUCAGGAGGACGCUAUAGUGUAGAGAAAGGGGCACUGGACUUGGAGUCAGGAGACCUG